rnacentral:rRNA from 1 species
UACGAAGGGGACUAGCGUUGUUCGGAAUCACUGGGCGUAAAGCGCACGUAGGCGGAUAUGUCAGUCAGGGGUGAAAUCCCGGGGCUCAACCUCGGAACUGCCUUUGAUACAGCAUAUCUUGAGUCCGAUAGAGGUGGGUGGAAUUCCUAGUGUAGAGGUGAAAUUCGUAGAUAUUCGGAGGAACACCAGUGGCGAAGGCGGCUUACUGGUCCAUUACUGACGCUGAGGCUCGAAAGCGUGGGGAGCAAACAGG